rnacentral:tRNA from 1 species
GGUCGACUGGCCCAGUGGUUAAGGCGUCCGCCUUACAAUUCCUGGAUCGCGGAAGGUCGUGGGUUCGAUUCCCACGUCGACCA